rnacentral:lncRNA from 1 species
UCCCCCUCUGGGCGGACGGUCCCCAGUGCAUGGAGGGAAUGCUCCAGGCCCUGCCUCCUCCUCCUCCUGCUGGCUCUCUGUUCAUGGAGGAACUGAAAGUGGACAGUGGGAUCCCAGCUCUUUUUCUUUCUUGGUUCUUCUUCCUGGGAGGUGGUGAGUGGUUUGCUCCUCCUCAGGGCACUGCGGUGGUGGGCUCCCACAGACCCAAAGCCAUGUGGCUGAUCAAUCACGCUCUGGAACCUGCAUAGCGGGGAGCCCAAACAAACCUUUUCUCUUUGUAAGUUGAUUAUCAUAGCUAUUUGUUUAUGGUAGUGGAAAUCUCCCUGACACAGCAAGUCUCUCCUUUUGGCUGGGAAAAUUCUCGAGGAAGGAUUUAACAGAGCUUCGGCUGCACACAGUCCCUGCGUCUGGGGACGAAGUUCUCAGUUCUGCAGGGAGUCUGAGUUGCACAUCAGGAUCCACUACAGAAAGCCCAGGAGGUAUGAGACUUCAGAGGAGGGAUGUCUGUGGAGAGCCACCAAGUGUUGUGGGAAGGAGGUCGGGACUCAGUUCCCAGGGGGCCCUGUGACUGCCUAGCAGAACUUGGUCCAGCCCAAGGAUGGGCCACGCAAAGGUCUAAGAAAACAAAUAACAAACAAAAUCUGAUGGAUUUGCAUUUUAAAGAAUCUCCAAGUGUAGAUUCCAAGUGCUUCAAGUGUAGCGUUAUGAAGACGGUUUGGAAAUCAGUUGGGAAACUCUCAGGGAGUUUGAGAAGAGAUGUGGAAGAGAGACAAGCAUUCGAGAGCCUUUCAGAAGGCAAAGCAAUUAAAACCAACUGGCUGAUUAUCUGUGGUCAGCGAGGGAGAAAUUGAGUAACAAGAAAACUUUGACUCACAUAGUAAGUGAACAUGGAACUGUGUGCCCAUCUCUUAGUGUCUGAUGCCUCCUUCACCCAGAAGGGCUUCGCAGCAGGGAGAGCAGCAUGUGUUGGACCUGGUGCCGGGGACGCUAGGAGACAGAGCCAUUCUCCUUCUUCUUCUAUCUAAACAAUUCACAUAUAAGGAAAACAGCAUUGGAGGACACUGGUGGGCACUUUGCUGAACAAAUCGUGUAGUUUUCAAGACGGUCAAUGUAAAGUA